rnacentral:rRNA from 1 species
AAUGAACGCUGGCGGCGCGUUUUAAGCAUGCAAGUCGAACGGUAGAGAGACUUCGGUUUCUUGAGAGUGGCGAACGGGUGAGUAACACGUAGAUGAUCUGCCUUGAAGUUGGGGAUAGCCUAUAGAAAUAUGGGGUAAUACCGAAUAAUUUUUUACCACUGUGGUGGUUUAAGGAAAGGGGCUUCGGCCUCGCUUUAAGAUGAGUCUGCGGCUUAUUAGCUAGUUGGUAGGGUAAGAGCCUACCAAGGCGACGAUAAGUAGCCGGCCUGAGAGGGUGACCGGCCACAUUGGGACUGAGACACGGCCCAAACUCCUACGGGAGGCAGCAGCUAAGAAUCUUCCGCAAUGGGCGCAAGCCUGACGGAGCGACGCCGCGUGGACGAAGAAUGCCGAGAGGUUGUAAAGUCCUUUUAUAUGCGAAGAAUAAUGCCUGUAAGUAAUGACAGGCAGAUGACGUUAGCUUAUGAAUAAGCUCCGGCCAAUUACGU